GGGCAGUCAACCAUGCUCUUCUGUCUCAUUGAGUCCAGGAUGCAAUGGCUGCAAACAGCAAACAGCCCUCCUUGCUAGUGUCCAGUCUGUAUGGAUUUUUUAAAGAGACCUUGAGACAGUC
rnacentral:snoRNA from 1 species